rnacentral:rRNA from 1 species
CCGUAGCCCAAGAGAUCGGGAUAACACCUGGAAACAGAUGCUAAUACCGGAUAACAACAGAUGAUGCCUAUCAACUGUUUAAAAGAUGGUCCUGCUAUCACUCUUGGAUGGACCUGCGGUGCAUUAGCUAGUUGGUAGGGUAACGGCCUACCAAGGCGAUGAUGCAUAGCCGAGUUGAGAGACUGAUCGGCCACAUUGGGACUGAGACACGGCCCAAACUCCUACGGGAGGCAGCAGAG